UCACAUACAAGUAGUUAUGAUAGGCUACGACGAAACAUUUUAUAAAUGCAUGAAUUGUUUAUACAUAUCUUGAUGUUUGAUUCAUGGAAAUCAUUGACAAAUACUUCUCUUACAUAUUUCACUCUUAUGAAUUUUUAAUGAGAAAUGGAUUUGAUAUAAUGCUCUUCUCACUAUGAAGUUUUAUUCGUGAAUUUUUCCUUCAUGUAAUACUCCUCU
rnacentral:lncRNA from 1 species